rnacentral:rRNA from 1 species
AUUGAACGCUGGCGGCAUGCUUUACACAUGCAAGUCGAACGGUAACAGGCCUUCGGGUGCUGACGAGUGGCGAACGGGUGAGUAAUGCAUCGGAACGUGCCCAAUCGUGGGGGAUAACGUAGCGAAAGUUACGCUAAUACCGCAUAAGCCCUGAGGGGGAAAGUGGGGGACCGCAAGGCCUCACGCGAAUGGAGCGGCCGAUGUCAGAUUAGCUAGUUGGUGGGGUAAAGGCCCACCAAGGCGACGAUCUGUAGCGGGUCUGAGAGGAUGAUCCGCCACACUGGGACUGAGACACGGCCCAGACUCCUACGGGAGGCAGCAGUGGGGAAUUUUGGACAAUGGGCGCAAGCCUGACCCAGCAACGCCGCGUGAGGGCAGAAGGUUUUCGGAUUGUAAACCUCUGUCGCAGAAGACGAAGGAAGUGACGGUAUUCUGUGAGGAAGCCCCGGCUAACUACGUGCCAGCAGCCGCGGUAAAGUGUGACUACUG